rnacentral:rRNA from 1 species
UACGGAGGGUGCAAGCGUUAUCCGGAUUCACUGGGUUUAAAGGGUGCGUAGGAGGGCAGGUAAGUCAGUGGUGAAAUCUCCGAGCUUAACUUGGAAACUGCCGUUGAUACUAUCUGUCUUGAAUAUUGUGGAGGUGAGCGGAAUAUGUCAUGUAGCGGUGAAAUGCUUAGAUAUGACAUAGAACACCAAUUGCGAAGGCAGCUGGCUACACAAAUAUUGACACUGAGGCACGAAAGCGUGGGGAUCAAACAGG